CAAUAGCGUAUAUUUAAGUUGUUGCAGUUAAAAAGCUCGUAGUUGGAUUUCGGUUAAGAGCGACCGGUCCGCCGUUUGGUGUGCACUGGUUGGUUUUAACUUCCUGUAGAGGACGUGCUCUGGGUUUAACGACCUGGACUCGGAGUCUACGUGGUUACUUUGAAAAAGUUAGAGUGUUCAAAGCGGGCUUACGCUUGAAUAUUUCAGCAUGGAAUAACACUAUAGGACUCCUGUCCUAUUUCGUUGGUCUCGGGACGGGAGUAAUGAUUAAGAGGAACAGUUGGGGGCAUUCGUAUUUCAUUGUCAGAGGUGAAAUUCUUGGAUUUAUGAAAGACGAACUUCUGCGAAAGCAUUUGCCAAGGAUGUUUUCAUUAA
rnacentral:rRNA from 1 species